GAACAGUCAAUCCUACUUGGAUAACUGUGGUAAUACUAGAGCUAAUACAUGCACCCAAGCCCCGACUCGGGGGGCAACUCUCGAGAAAGGGCGCUUUUAUUAGAUCAAAACCAGUCGAGAGCUUCGGCUCUCGUUAAGUUUGGUGACUCUGGAUAACUUCACGCUGAUCGCACGGUCUUCGCACCGGCGACGAUUCUUUCAAAUGUCUGCCUUAUCAACUGUCGAUGGUAGGUUAUGCGCCUACCAUGGUUGCAACGGGUAACGGGGAAUCGGGGUUCGAUUCCGGAGAGGGAGCCUGAGAAACGGCUACCACAUCCAAGGAAGGCAGCAGGCGCGCAAAUUACCCACUCCCGGCACGGGGAGGUAGUGACGAAAAAUAACGAUACGGGACUCUUCCGAGGCCCCGCGAUUGGAAUGAGUACACUUUAAAUCCUUUAACGAGGACCCAUUGGAGGGCAAGUCUGGUGCCAGCAGCCGCGGUAACUCCAGCUCCAAUAGCGUAUAUUAAAGUUGUUGCGGUUAAAAAGCUCGUAGUCGGAGUUCUGUCUUCGGCCGAGGGGGGAUUCUGCCUACACGGUAUGAGUCUCGUUCCCUUUGGGUGUGCGGUGUCAAAGCCGUGCACUCUUAACGGUCGGACAAGUCCGUCGGAGUGUGGUUAUUGUUGGAAGGGCAACCGACCAAUGAGGCCACCGUAAUCGUUCGGGGCGCCUUUAAUCGGGUGUCUCGGGCGGCCGACAUAGUUUACUUUGAACAAAUUAGAGUGCUCAAAGCAGGUGACUACCGCCUGAAUAGUACAGCAUGGAAUGAUGAAAGAGGACCUCGGUCUGAUUUUGCUGGUCUUUAACGGUCGGGCUUCGGCCCGGCCUAUGCAGACCCGAGGUAAUGGUCAAUAGAGACGGACGGGGGCAUCCGUACUGCGGCGACAGAGGUGAAAUUCUUGGACCGCCGCAAGACGAACGACAGCGAAGGCAAUUGCCAAGAAUGUUUUCCUUGAUCAAGAACGAAAGUUAGAGGUUCGAAGGCGAUCAGAUACCGCCCUAGUUCUAACCAUAAACGAUGCCAACUAGCGAUCCGCCGGUGUUACUCCCAUGACUCGGCGGGCAGCUUCCGGGAAACCAAAGUCUUUGGGUUCCGGGGGAAGUAUGGUUGCAAAGCUGAAACUUAAAGGAAUUGACGGAAGGGCACCACCAGGAGUGGAGCCUGCGGCUUAAUUUGACCCAACACGGGAAACCUCACCAGGCCCGGACACUGGAAGGAUUGACAGAUUGAGAGCUCUUUCUUGAUUCGGUGGGUGGUGGUGCAUGGCCGUUCUUAGUUGGUGGAGCGAUUUGUCUGGUUAAUUCCGAUAACGAACGAGACUCUAGCCUGCUAAAUAGGUGCCGGGUUUU
rnacentral:rRNA from 1 species